AUUAAUCUUAUGAGGUAGGUGAUAUUAUCAUCCCUAUUUUGCAGGUCAGAAAAAAAAGACUCAGAAUGGUGAAAAAUUGGUUUCAGAUGACAAAGGACCUGCCCCCUCACUUUUCUCUCCUGGCCUCGCUUCUCACUCUUCCUAAAAUAAUAGAGCCAUAGUGGUUUAUGAAAGGAAGCAAAGGCUACUCAUGAUAUAUAUCUCAUCUUUUAAAAUUGUAAAUUAAAGUAAAAAAUGUUUAUUAUUGAACAUUUGGAAAAAAUUUUUAGAGUACAAAGAAAAUGAAAGCCACUUACGAUGGUCUUACCCCCAAAUCCCUCAUCUUUUGAGUUGACAUAAGAAAAGCAGCUAGUCUCUUCUGCCAUAUGUGAGUGCAGGGAUGAAGUCUGUCCUGCCAAUAGCAAAGAUCUGACCUAGUGUAGAAUCUCUAGAGAACUUUUCAGAAGAGGUAGAGAGUAUGUCCA
rnacentral:lncRNA from 1 species